rnacentral:rRNA from 1 species
UAGUCCACACCGUAAACGAUGAGAGCUAGUUGUCUGCAAGCAUGCUUGUAGGUGACGCAGCUAACGCAUUAAGCUCUCCGCCUGGGGAGUACGGUCGCAAGAUUAAAACUCAAAGAAAUUGACGGGGGCCCGCACAAGCGGUGGAGCAUGUGGUUUAAUUCGAAGCAACGCGCAGAACCUUACCUACCCUUGACAUGCCGGUCGCGAUUUCCAGAGAUGGAUUUCUUCAAUUCGGUUGGACCGUGCACAGGUGCUGCAUGGCCGUCGUCAGCUCGUGUCGUGAGAUGUUGGGUUAAGUCCCGCAACGAGCGCAACCCUCACUUUUAGUUGCCAUCAUUAAGUUGGGCACUCUGAAAGAACUGCCAGUGAUAAGCUGGGAGGAAGGUGGGGGAUGGACAUCAAGUCCUCAUGGGCCCUUACGUGUUGGGGCUACACACGUGCUACAAUGGGUAUCUACAACAGGGAAGCAAGGACU